rnacentral:rRNA from 1 species
AGGGAAUGUAAAUCCUUUGUGAAAUCGUCCGGCUUAACCGGACGGCGUGCAGGGGAGACUGCAUUCCUAGGGACCGGGAGGAGUCAGAAGUAUUCUGGGGGGAGCGGUAAAAUGCUAUAAUCCCCGGAGGACUACCUGUGGCGAAGGCGUCUGACUAGAACGGAUCCGACUGUGAGGGACGAAAGCCAGGGGAGCAAACCGGAUUAGAUACCCGAGUAGUCCUGGCCGUAAACGCUGCGAGCUAGGUAUUGCGUAUUCUCCAUGAAUAUGCAGUAUCGGAGCGAAGGUGUUAAGCUCGCCGCCUGGGAA